rnacentral:rRNA from 1 species
GACGAACACUGGCGGCGUGCCUAAUACAUGCAAGUAGAACGCUGAAGAGAGGAGCUUGCUCUUCUUGGAUGAGUUGCGAACGGGUGAGUAACGCGUAGGUAACCUGCCUUGUAGCGGGGGAUAACUAUUGGAAACGAUAGCUAAUACCGCAUAACAAUGGAUGACACAUGUCAUUUAUUUGAAAGGGGCAAUUGCUCCACUACAAGAUGGACCUGCGUUGUAUUAGCUAGUAGGUGAGGUAAUGGCUCACCUAGGCGACGAUACAUAGCCGACCUGAGAGGGUGAUCGGCCACACUGGGACUGAGACACGGCCCAGACUCCUACGGGAGGCAGCAGUAGGGAAGCUUCGGCAAUGGGGGCAACCCUGACCGAGCGACGCCGCGUGAGUGAAGAAGGUUUUCGGAUCGUAAAGCUCUGUUGUAAGUCAAGAACGGGUGUGAGAGUGGAAAGUUCACACUGUGACGGUAGCUUACCAGAAAGGGACGGCUAACUACGUG